CCCUACGGGGGGCUGCAGUAGGGAAUAUUGCACAAUGGGCGAAAGCCUGAUGCAGCAACGCCGCGUGUGCGAAGAAGGCCUUCGGGUCGUAAAGCACUUUUCUGGGAGAUGAGAAAGGACAGUAUCCCAGGAAUAAGUCUCGGCUAACUACGUGCCAGCAGCCGCGGUAAAACGUAGGAGGCGAGCGUUAUCCGGAUUCACUGGGCGUAAAGCGCGUGCAGGCGGUUUGGUAAGUUUGGCGGGAAAGCUCCCGGCUCAACGGGGAGAGGUCGUCCAAAACUACCAGACUAGAGAGCGAUAGAGGAAAAUGGAAUUCCCGGUGUAGUGGUGAAAUGCGUAGAUAUCGGGAGGAACACCAGUGGCGAAGGCGAUUUUCUGGAUCGUUUCUGACGCUCAGACGCGAAAGCUAGGGUAGCAAACGGGAUUAGAUACCCCUGUAGUCGAG
rnacentral:rRNA from 1 species